rnacentral:rRNA from 1 species
GAUGAACGCUGGCGGCGUGCCUAAUACAUGCAAGUCGAGCGAACGGACGAGAAGCUUGCUUCUCUGAUGUUAGCGGCGGACGGGUGAGUAACACGUGGAUAACCUACCUAUAAGACUGGGAUAACUUCGGGAAACCGGAGCUAAUACCGGAUAAUAUUUUGAACCGCAUGGUUCAAAAGUGAAAGACGGUCUUGCUGUCACUUAUAGAUGGAUCCGCGCUGCAUUAGCUAGUUGGUAAGGUAACGGCUUACCAAGGCAACGAUGCAUAGCCGACCUGAGAGGGUGAUCGGCCACACUGGAACUGAGACACGGUCCAGACUCCUACGGGAGGCAGCAGUAGGGAAUCUUCCGCAAUGGGCGAAAGCCUGACGGAGCAACGCCGCGUGAGUGAUGAAGGUCUUCGGACAGUAAAACUCUGUUAUUAGGGAAGAACAUAUGUGUAAGUAACUGUGCACAUCUUGACGGUACCUAAUCAGAAAGCCACGGCUAACUACGUG